rnacentral:rRNA from 1 species
AACGAACGCUGGCGGCGUGGAUAAGACAUGCAAGUCGAGCGCUGAUUUCAGGGUAGCAAUAUUCUGAAGUUGGAGCGGCGCAAGGGUGCGUAACACGUGGGUAAUCUGCCGUGAAGUUGGGGAUAACUCGCUGAAAGGCGAGCUAAUACCGAAUGUGAAAAUCGAAAGGCAUCUUUUGAUUUUUAAAGUUGGGGAUCGUAAGACCUGACGCUUCAUGAUGAACCCGCGGCCUAUCAGCUAGUUGGUGAGGUAACGGCUCACCAAGGCUAAGACGGGUAGCUGGUCUGAGAGGACGACCAGCCACACUGGAACUGAGACACGGUCCAGACACCUACGGGUGGCAGCAGUCGAGAAUUUUUCACAAUGGGCGAAAGCCUGAUGGAGCGACGCCGCGUGGGGGAUGAAUGGCUUCGGCCCGUAAACCCCUGUCAUUUGCGAACAAACCUUACCGGUUAAC